UCAGAUAAUACGGCCGUAUUACAAUUUUUAUACAGUCUAUGAUUACAACAUUAUACGUCGGUAUUUCUAGGAAGGAUUUAAUAUCGCGGUGUUAUGGAGGAGGUGGAUGUUGAGCCCAGUCCCACGCUCAUUCCCAGCGCUGGAUUUCACCAGAGGCAUUUGGGUUUUGAAUGGGGUCCUGGAGAUCUGUUAGUCUAUGAGACGAACUACAGACUGCAAGGUUCGAGGUCUGCAGGCUCUCCGUUCGUUCACAUCGUGUGGAAAGAUGAAGACAUCUGCUCUCCCAUCCUGCGCAAACUCUU